ensembl:lncRNA
GUGGGGUCAUUAUAUAUGAGGGUUAUUCUGGUGUGAGUUAUAGUGUGGGGUCAUUAUAUAUGAGGGGUUAUUCUGGUGUGUGUUAUAGUGUGGGGUCAUUAUAUAUGAGGGGUUAUUCUGGGGUGUGUUAUAGUGUGGGGUCAUUUUAUAUGAGGGUUAUUCUGGGGUGUGUUAUAGUGUGGGGUCAUUAUAUAUGAGGGGUUAUUCUGGUGUGUGUUAUAGUGUGGGGUCAUUAUAUAUGAGGGUUAUUCUGGUGUGGGGUCAUUAUAUAUGAGGGUUAUUCUGGUGUGGGGUCAUUAUAUAUGAGGGGUUAUUCUGGUGUGUGUUAUAGUGUGGGGUCAUUAUAUAUGAGGGUUAUUCUGGUGUGAGUUAUAGUGUGGGGUCAUUAUAUAUGAGGGGUUAUUCUGGUGUGUGUUAUAGUGUGGGGUCAUUACAUAUGAGGGUUAUUCUGGGGUGUGUUAUAGUGUGGGGUCAUUAUAUAUGAGGGGUUAUUCUGGUGUGGGGUCAUUAUAUAUGAGGGGUUAUUCUGGGGUGUGUUAUAGUGUGGGGUCAUUAUAUAUGAGGGGUUAUUCUGGUGUGGGGUCAUUAUAUAUGAGGGGUUAUUCUGGGGUGUGUUAUAGUGUGGGGUCAUUAUAUAUGAGGGGUUAUUCUGGGGUGUGUUAUAGUGUGGGGUCAUUAUAUAUGAGGGGUUAUUCUGGUGUGUGUUAUAGUGUGUUGUGUUAAGUUUGUGGGUGUCAGUGUGAGAAAGGUCAUCAUUGUAGCUCAGCACUUAUGCCCCAGAGAGAGGGGGGGUGAAAGAGAGAUGAAUGAAGAGAGAGAGAGGUGGAUAUGGAGGGAGAUAGAGAGAUAGGAAUGGAGAGAGAGGUUUCAAUCACCCUACAGAAGC